GAUACAUCCAAAUUUUAACAAACUUGAGACAUCUUUUGUUGGACGGACGGGGGGAGUACAAUAUAUAGUACUUAUUUUUUUUUAUGAAACAAAGGGAAGGGUGAUUGGCGGAGCUCGGCCGCGGAGGAACUUGGUGAAAAAUUGCGACAACCCUUUUUUACUACGGAAGAGAUUUUUUCUCUCUCUUUUGUCCUACUUUCAUUAUCUUCAUCUUCCUUGCUUUCCUGCACUUUUUGAUUUUUUGUUUUUUGAACUUUAAUUUUCCUAAACUUUUGGAUUUUCUAAAACUUUUUCUACCUUUUCUUUUCUCCAUUUUUAAUUUCUCUUACUUUUGCUUUUAAUUUCCUCAAAUUCUGAAAGAUUAUUUUUACCCAACAAUGGCAUAGAAGGUUAAAUCUCACUUGACAUAUCAGAACCGUUGGAUUAAUAUUUGAGCGUCACCACACUCCCCUCAUUUCAGCAUUCGUUCGGAAAUUUAAAGCAAAAACCAUAUUCAAUGGCUGAGAAAUCAACUUAUCUCUAACUAAAAUCAAGGCACUUAGAUAUUGCAAAAUGGAUUUCUUUUUGUAUCCAAGCAAAAUACAGCACUACUCUAGCCUCCUUUUUUUAUUAUCAUGGCCGUCCAUGAUAUAUAUUAUUGUAAAAUUACCACAUAACACCAAAUUUCUUUUUUCUUGAGAAGUCAAAUUGCGAUUCUAUUUCAUAAGUUGCAUUAACGAACCCGCCGUCGGGAGGAGGACGUGGAGGAGAGCCCCGAUUCCCAUCACCGCGCCGUAACCCCCAGUCCAACGACCGUCGAGGAGGACAAGGAUGCCGCCUACAACGCGGUGGCCGCUGAGUCGAUCAAGACGGUAGAUGAAGAGGAGUAGCGCCACCGACCUCGCCCGCGCCUUCUACCGGUUAGAGAAAGACCGAGAGAUACUCUUCGUCUCUUCCGAUUCCGACUAGGCCGCCUCUAAGUAAUAUUUGGUUUUAUGUAUAAACUUAAUCAGAUGAACUUGGUCCCGUGUUAUUCGAUGGUGUCUUUAAUAUAGUUAUUUAUGUAGUUUUUAUGUAUGAACUUGUGGUGCUUGAGACGAGAUUGGACGCGCGAUUUACUUUCAAAUAGUUGAAAUGCCUG
rnacentral:lncRNA from 1 species